UAUUUAAUCGAUAUCCAUUUU
ensembl:piRNA 21ur-11179 ncRNA